rnacentral:rRNA from 1 species
UACGGGGGGGGGCAAGCGUUUGUUCGGAAUUACUGGGCGUAAAGGGCUCGUAGGUGGCCAACUAAGUCAGACGUGAAAUCCCUCGGCUUAACCGGGGAACUGCGUCUGAUACUGGAUGGCUUGAGAUUGGGAGAGGGAUGCGGAAUUCCAGGUGUAGCGGUGAAAUGCGUAGAUAUCUGGAGGAACACCGGUGGCGAAGGCGGCAUCCUGGACCAACACUGACACUGAGGAGCGAAAGCCAGGGGAGCAAACGAG